rnacentral:lncRNA from 1 species
CGCCUCGGCCUCCCAAAGUGCUGGGAUUACAGGCGUGAACCACCAUGCCCGGCCCAGAAUGUCCUUUCUUUUCAAAGCCGAGUAAUAUUCCAUUAUGAACACAUUUUAUCUUUUGUAGAUCACCUUUCAGAGGAGAAGAAUUUUAAAGAAUCCUGUCUGUUCCACAGGGAUUUAAGAGAGCAGUUAACUACUGUAGAUAAAGAAACACUUCAAGGAGCAGCUAAACCAGAUGCUCACUUUAGGACUAUGCCCUGCGGGCAGCUUCUGCACUUCCUGCAGAAAAACACCAUCAUCGCCACCGUCUCAGGGGUGGCCAUCCUCAUGGCCAUCGUGCUGUUGCUGCUUGGGUUGGCCUCAUACAUCAGGAAGAAACAGCCAUCGUGAGUGGUGCUGGCAUAACCUUCCUUCCAAGAACCCGCGGGUGUUAGAACUCACGCUGCCCUCAGGGCUUCCUGCUGGUCUGGUUUAUGAGGAGGGCAGAAGCUGCAAGCCUGGUUGUGCUUCAGCAUCCCCUGGCCUGCUCUGUCAAAGCACACAGGACCUGGGCCAUGGGUUUUAGGCACAGCCUGGGUGAUUCUGAUGCACACCCGGGUUUGGGGAUCCCUGGGUGGGCCAGGGUUGCCUCUCAAGGCCACUACGGUUAGGCCAGACCUGUCCCCAUAUUGAGGGCUCUGGCUGAAAGAUUG